CGUGUAGGCGGUCUCUUAAGUCUGAUGUGAAAGCCCGGGGCUCACCCCCGGAAGUGCAUCGGAUACUGGGAGACUCGAGUACCGGAGAGGAGGGUGGAAUUCCUGGUGUAGCGGUGAAAUGCGUAGAUAUCAGGAGGAACACCGGUGGCGAAGGCGGCCCUCUGGACGGAUACUGACGCUGAGACGCGAAAGCGUGGGGAGCAAACAGGAUUAGAUACCCUGGUAGUCCACGCUGUAAACGAUGGGCACUAGGUGUUCGGGGUAUUGACCCCCUGAGUGCCGCAGCUAACGCAUUAAGUGCCCCGCCUGGGGACUACGGCCGCAAGGUUAA
rnacentral:rRNA from 1 species